rnacentral:rRNA from 1 species
UACGUAGGUGGCAAGCGUUGUCCGGAUUUAUUGGGUUUAAAGGGUGCGUAGGUGGCCCUGUAAGUCAAUGGUGAAAUAUCUCAGCUUAACUGAGAGGGUGCCAUUGAUACUGCAGGGCUUGAGUACAGAUGAGGUAGGCGGAAUUGACGGUGUAGCGGUGAAAUGCAUAGAUAUCGUCAAGAACACCGAUAGCGAAGGCAGCUUACCAAGCUGUAACUGACACUGAGGCACGAAAGUGUGGGGAUCAAACAGG